CCCGCCGGCGACCGGCGCACGGGUGAGUAACACGUAUGCAACCUGGCCGCCACAGGGGGAUAACCCGCGGAAACGCGGCCUAAUACCCCGUGACGCCACCGGAGGGCAUCCUCCGGUGGCCAAAGGAGCGAUCCGGUGGCGGAUGGGCAUGCGGCGCAUUAGCUAGACGGCGGGGUGACGGCCCGCCGUGGCGACGAUGCGUAGGGGUUCUGAGAGGAAGGCCCCCCACACUGGGACUGAGACACGGCCCAGACUCCUACGGAAGGCAGCAG
rnacentral:rRNA from 1 species